rnacentral:siRNA from 1 species
UUUAAAGCAGUGCGAGAACUAU